CCUACGGGUGGCAGCAGUGAGGAAUAUUGGUCAAUGGGCUGACGCCUGAACCAGCCAAGUCGCGUGAGGGAAGACUGCCCUAUGGGUUGUAAACCUCUUUUGUCAGGGAGCAACGCCGGCUACGUGUAGCCGGACUGAGAGUAACUGAAGAAAAAGCAUCGGCUAACUCCUUGCCAGCAGCCGCGGUAAUACGGAGGAUGCGAGUGUGAUCCGGAUGUAUUGGGUUUAAAGGGGGCGUAGGCGGAAUGCCAAGUCAGCGGUAAAACCGCGGGGCCCAACCUCGCUCCGACGUUGAAACUGGCGUUCUUGAGUGGGCGAGAAGUAUGCGGAAUGCGUGGUGUAGCGGUGAAAUGCAUAGAUAUCACGCAGAACGCCGAUUGCGAAGGCAGCAUACCGGCGCCCAACUGACGCUGAAGCACGAAAGCGUGGGUAUCGAACAGGAUUAGAUACCCUAGUAGUC
rnacentral:rRNA from 1 species